CGCAUUCUUACAUCCGAAGUCGUUGCUUUUAUCUCCCACCUUGCCGCUACCGUUGUCAUCUUCUUGGUUUUCCAUCAGCACAUGGCCCCUACAGAUCAACUAGUUUUCAGAAAGAAACUGUUGAGAUUAAAAGGUUGUGAAUUAUGAAAAUCAUGUGACGAUUCAAAAUUAAAGAGCAAAGCGGAAAGUUUUGUUAGUGUUAUUAUGGAUGAUAGUUUUGUGUUUUGGGUUGAUGUCACUGUUUCCCCACAACUUAUAUAGGUUUUGAUCUCAUUUGGUCACUCGUUUAUCUUUUUGUCAUUCAAAGUCCUAAACUUUCAAGAAAUAUAUCAAAAAGGUCAUUAUUAGAAGGAAGAAUGGGAUAGCCUGUUAUAAGAUGACGUGACAUUCCAUAUAGAACUUACUUACAUGGAGGUUUAAGUGGCGUCCACAUGGCACUUUCUCUUUAAUUAUACUAGGUGUGAAACCUGUAUACUACACAUGUUGAUUAAAAUUAAAUUAAAUAUCAAGAUGUAAACAUUAAGCAAUUUUAAAACUAAAAUUUUGAAAAAAAUACAAAGAAAAUGGUGAAUAAGUAAGCAAUU